rnacentral:rRNA from 1 species
UACGUAGGGUGCAAGCGUUGUCCGGAAUUAUUGGGCGUAAAGAGCUCGUAGGCGGUCUUUUAAGUCUUGUGUGAAAUCCCUCGGCUCAACUGAGGAACUGCACGGGAUACUGGAAGACUUGAGUUCGGGAGAGGGAAGCGGAAUUCCGGGUGUAGCGGUGAAAUGCGUAGAUAUCCGGAGGAACACCGGUGGCGAAGGCGGCUUCCUGGACCGAUUACUGACGCUGAGGCGCGAAAGCUAGGGGAGCAAACGGG